rnacentral:rRNA from 1 species
GACGAACGCUGGCGGCGUGCCUAAUACAUGCAAGUUGAGCGAUGAAGAUUGGUGCUUGCACCAAUUUGAAGAGCAGCGAACGGGUGAGUAACGCGUGGGGAAUCUGCCUUUGAGCGGGGGACAACAUCUGGAAACGAAUGCUAAUACCGCAUAAUAACUUUAAACAUAAGCUUUAAGUUUGAAAGAUGCAAUUGCAUCACUCAAAGAUGAUCCCGCGUUGUAUUAGCUAGUUGGUGAGGUAAAGGCUCACCAAGGCGAUGAUACAUAGCCGACCUGAGAGGGUGAUCGGCCACAAUGGGAAUGAAACACCGCCCAAACUCCUAAGGGAGGCAGCAGUAGGGAAACUUCGGCAAUGGACGGAAGUCUGACCGAGCAACGCCGCGUGAGGGAAGAAGGUUGUCGGAUCGUAAAAAUCUGUUGGUAGAGAAGAAAGUUGGUGAGAGUGGAAAGCUCAUCAAGUGACGGUAACUACCCAGAAAGGGACGGCUAACUACGUG